rnacentral:misc_RNA from 1 species
UAUCCGUAGGCGAACCUGCGGAAGGAUCAUUAUUGGAUUUUGAAACUUCAGGCUGCUGCUGGCUCUCCUCGGAGGGCAUGUGCACGCUUGUUGUCCAUUAUUUCUCCCACUGUGCACAAAUUGUAGACCUUUCAGUAGGCCUAUGUUGUUUUUCACAAUCUCUGAAUGUAAUAGAAUGGUUUUGAAUCUUGGGAAAUACAAUACAACUUUCAGCAACGGAUCUCUUGGCUCUC